GAAACAGGAGAUAUCUCUGUGCGAAAGGGACAAGGCCGAAGACCUGUAUUGGAUGCCCGUGGUCUUCGGGCCCUCAGACGACUCUGCAUCACUCAUCGGCAUGAUUGUGUCAAUGACAUUACUAAAUGGGCCCAGGAAUACUUCCAGAAAGCACAGUCGGUAAACACAAUCCGCCGUGCCAUCUGCAGAUGCCAGCUAAAGCUCUAUCAUGCAAAAAGGAAGCCAUAUCUGAACAUGGUCCAGAAGCGCCGUCGUGUCCUGUGGGCCAGGACUCAUUUGAAAUGGACUGUUUCAAAGUGGGAAAGUGUUCUAUGGUCAGACGAGUCCAAAUGUGACAUUCUUGUUGGUAAUCAAGGGCGCCCUGUCCUCCGGGCUAAAGAGGAGGGAGACCUUCCAGCGUGUUAUCAGCGUUCAGUUCAAAAGCCAGCAUCUCUGAUGGUAUGGGGGUGCAUAAGUGCAUACGGUAUGGGCAGCUUGCAUGUUUUGGAAGGAGCUAUGAAUGUUGAAAGGUAUAUAAAGGUUUUAGAGCAACACAUGCUCCCCUCCAGAGGACGUCUGUUUCAGGGAAGGCCUUGUGUAUUUCAGCAGGACAAUGCAAAACCACAUACUGCAGAUACUACAACAGCAUGGCUUCGUGGGAGAAGAGUCCGGCUGCUGAAUUGGCCUGUCUGCAGUCCAGAUCUUUCACCUAUAGAGAACAUACAGUAAUUACCUGUGACACCCAUGGUGCACUGUGAGCAGGUAUACAGGCCAACAGAGCAUGCAGAUAAUUAUCUGUAACACCCAUUGUACACUGUGAGCAGGUAUACAGGCCCACAGAGCAUGCAGAUAAUUAUCUGUGACACCCAUGGUGCACUGUGAGCAGGUAUACAGGCCAACAGAGCAUGCAGAUAAUUACCUGUGACACCCAUGGUGCACUGUGAGCAGGUAUACAGGCCAACAGAGCAUGCAGAUAAUUAUCUGUGACACCCAUUGUACACUGUGAGCAGGUAUACAGGCCCACAGAGCAUGCAGAUAAUUAUCUGUGACACCCCUUGUACACUGUGAGCAGGU